rnacentral:rRNA from 1 species
UCAUCGGAGAGUUUGAUCCUGGCUCAGGAUGAACGCUGGCGGCGUGCCUAACACAUGCAAGUCGAGCGAGAAAGAGGGGGCAACUCCUCGAGUAAAGCGGCGGACGGGUGAGUAAUGUAUAAGAAAGUUUCCAUUUAAUGGGGGAUAGCAUCUCGAAAGGGGUGGUAAUACCGCAUGUGUUCAAAUUGCGGCAUCGCGAUUUGAAUAAAGAUGGGGAUCGCAAGACCUAUCGUUAGAUGAGACCCUUAUAUCCUAUCAGCUAGUUGGUAAGGUAAUGGCUUACCAAGGCGACGACGGGUAGUUGGUCUGAGAGGAUGACCAGCCACACUGGGACUGAGACACGGCCCAGACUCCUACGGGAGGCAGCAGUGAGGAAUAUUGCGCAAUGGGCGAAAGCCUGACGCAGCGACGCCGCGUGGACGAUGAAGCCUUUAGGGGUGUAAAGUCCUUUCGACAGGGAAGAAUAAAUAUAAUAUUAAUAUGAUUAUAUGAUGACUGUACCUGUGGAAGAAGCCCCGGCUAACUACGUGCCAGCAGCCGCGGUAAUACGUAGGGGGCGAGCGUUAUCCGGAAUUACUGGGUGUAAAGG